rnacentral:lncRNA from 1 species
GGGAUUGAGAGGUAAUGGGAUUUCAAGAGGGCUGAAGAUGGGAAUUGCUGCAGUCAGAAUGAUUUGAAAGGGAAAGAGUCCAGAAUGUGGUGCAAUGAGAGUAAUUUGGGAGGAACUGAGAGGGUGAUCUGAAAGGUAACAAGUGCAGAAAACAUAAGUAAAAGGAGUGCCUUAAAGCUAAUGGUCAGGGUUUUCUUCCUGUUGUGGAGAGAAAUCAAUUCUCCAGUAGGGUAUUUGCCAGGUCAAAACAGGAGGCAUAAAAAGCUUUCCUUACAUACGUGGCAGGCUUCCACACGUCUGAAGACACAGAGGCGAACAGUGGAAGUAGUGUAAGGAGAGAAAAAGGAAAAUUCAGCACAGACAACUAUGGAAUGCCAAAGGAGGUGAUGACACUGAAAGGAACCAACUCAAGACAACUAAGGCCAAAUAACAUAACCAUUAAAGAACCCUCCCACAAGAGGAGGGUGAGCAUCUUGGACCGGAAUGUACAUCCCAUCUACUUGCUAAAGUCUGAGAUACAGAAAGUUUCCAUCCGUGCCUUCAUGACCAAGCCACUUUGAAACACAUCAAAUACAAGUAAGUGUAAUUGAGCAGCUGGC